UACGGAGGGUGCAAGCGUUAUCCGGAUUUACUGGGUUUAAAGGGUGCGUAAGUGGGUCUGUAAGUCAGUGGUGAAAUCUCCGAGCUUAACUCGGAAACUGCCAUUGAUACUAUAGAUCUUGAAUUAUCUGGAGGUGAGCGGAAUAUGUCAUGUAGCGGUGAAAUGCUUAGAUAUGACAUAGAACACCAAUUGCGAAGGCAGCUCACUACGGAUUGAUUGACACUGAGGCACGAAAGCGUGGGGAUCAAACAGG
rnacentral:rRNA from 1 species